rnacentral:rRNA from 1 species
GAUGAACGCUGGCGGCGUGCCUAAUACAUGCAAGUCGAGCGAACAGACGAGGAGCUUGCUCCUCUGACGUUAGCGGCGGACGGGUGAGUAACACGUGGAUAACCUACCUAUAAGACUGGGAUAACUUCGGGAAACCGGAGCUAAUACCGGAUAAUAUAUUGAACCGCAUGGUUCAAUAGUGAAAGACGGUUUUGCUGUCACUUAUAGAUGGAUCCGCGCCGCAUUAGCUAGUUGGUAAGGUAACGGCUUACCAAGGCAACGAUGCGUAGCCGACCUGAGAGGGUGAUCGGCCACACUGGAACUGAGACACGGUCCAGACUCCUACGGGAGGCAGCAGUAGGGAAUCUUCCGCAAUGGGCGAAAGCCUGACGGAGCAACGCCGCGUGAGUGAUGAAGGUCUUCGGAUCGUAAAACUCUGUUCUUAGGGAAGACCAAAUGUGUAAGUAACUAUGCACGUCUUGACGGUACCUACUCAGAAAGCAACGGCUAACUACGUG